ACAUAAACUCUGAAGUUUGUUCUGUUUGUCAAUAAACUUGAAAGCAAGGGAUUUGCUUUGUUUACAGAGGGAGACAUCCUCUCCAGCAGGAUUCUGCCAUGUACUCUGUGCCCUAUCCACUGCCUUCCAGCCAGACAGGCCAGAGCCAAACCCCGUUCUCUCUUGAGUGGCAGCCAAGCCCCUGCCUGAGUCUUGGUUUCAAAUGGUCAUUCAAAUCCAUCCACACAGUGUCUGGUCUGCAAUAGAGACCAGUGUCCCUUUUUAUGUGACAUUUGGGAUAUACUUGGCUAUACCAGGAACACAGGGGUGCUCUCAAGUUCCCUUAGUGCAGUAAGGGGAAACUAUCAUAUUUCUUAGAGUUGGAAGGAAUCUAGAUAUCAUCUUGUUCAGUGAUUCCCAAAUCUAGCCUUGGGUAGGGAUCACCCAGGGAACGUUCAAAACGUAAGCAUCCCUAGGCUUCAUCUGAGCGAUAUUCAAUCAGGGUGGCAGGGGAGAGCUGGGCCUUAAAAAAGCUCUGCGGAUGAUUUGGUUACGGUCAACCUGGCACCAGCAUUUGGAAAUCACUGCACAGGGGAAUCUGAGGCCCAGAGAAGGUGACUGACCACUCAUGCUUGCUCCAUGUUAAGUAGUUGACUGACUCGGAGUUGUCAGUGAUUGAGUAGUUGACCGACUCCUAGUUAAGGGUCGGUUUCAUACGCCAGCUUUCUCCUGCAGUGGUGCCAGGGCUUUCAUCCUGGUGAUGUUUGCAAGAUGGAGAACAAAAAGGAGAGUUAUAAAGAGCUGUUUACACCUUUCAUCAGAAAGCAUCCAUGAAAGGCCUUCUGCAUACACCCUUCCAAGGGAGAACAGCCUGCAUCCAGCUUUAGCAGAGUACAUGGGCUGACUCCGUCGUUCCUCCAGCUAUUGGUAUUCUGCAGCAGCUGUCUGAUGGAGAUGGAGCUCUCUGACAAGGAUGGGCCGGAACUCCAGCUGCUGCACUCCUCAAACCUGACUGUGCAUCAGAAUCACCCAGAGGGGCUCGUGGAAAUCUGCCUGCCAGGCCCCAUCUCCUUUCCAGAGUGUUGGAAUCAGGAGAUCCAGGGUGGGGCUCAAGAAAGUGCAUUUCUAACAUGUUCUCCUCAGUGAAAAAAUGUCAUUUAUUAGGUCAUUUUAUUGCAUCAUAAUGUUUGGAGUCAUGACUGGCAGAUUUCACCUCCCCUUUUAAGUCCAGGCAGAGCCAGACACCAGCCCUGUUGGCUGAGGCAUCCACCUUUGAUUGAGAGCCAAGGAAGAGCAAGAGGACAGGCCCCAGCAGAACGUGGCUGAUCUGCUGGGUAGACCAAGACCUUGGCGUUGGCCUCUCAAUUUCUGGUAUGAGAUGGGCCUGCUUAGGUUUUCUGCUUCUUUUUGAAUGAAUUUUGAAAUUUUACGUUUUCCUCAAAAAGUAUCCAUUUCGCUCAAACCUUGGAAACAGGAACACAUAUUUGUACAAACGAUUAUUUUAUAAGAUUUAAAUUUCCUAUAUAUAAAUAUCAAAUCAAUAUGUUGCAUACCUGAAACCAAUAUGAUGUUACAUGUCAAAUACAUCUCAAUAAAGAAAGCUAAAAAAAGAA